rnacentral:lncRNA from 1 species
UGAUACAGUAAAAUUACGAUUGCGGUAGGUGAAAGACGGCAAGCUAGCAGGACGACCCUGACCAACUUACCUUCGCUCUUCUAUAUAUUAGAAAAUACAUAAGUAGCUUAUAAUAAUUAAUUAAGGAUGAUACAAUAAAAUCACGGUUGAGAUAGGUGAAAGACGGCAAGCUGGCAGGACAACCCUGACCAGCUUACCUUCGCUCUUCUGUAUAUUAGAAUUACGAUGUUGUGUUGCACAAAAAUUACAAAUUUUAUAUCAGGCUUACAUUGACAAUUAGACUUUAAGCCCGUAUAUAAUUCCAUCUUGGUCCAUAAACUUUCCAUUGCAAAUUACUAGAAAAUUAUCAGAAAAUUACAUGGGAUGACCCCAAUAGUGGUUGGUUUUGGAUUUUUGACCUUCGUAAGAAAAGUCUUUAAAGAUUAAUCUUCCUUCUUUUUUUAUGUAUAUUACAAGUACUUUUUUGCUCCUCUACACCUCAAAUAUUUUUAAACUUUUCAUUAUCAUUUGUCUCUCAA